AUGUCACUCUGGAAGGGAGACAGCAGCAAACAGACUGUGCAAGUGAGUGGUGGAAGACGAAGGAUCUCUGAAGCCUCAUCAGUCAUCGGGACCAUCAGGAAUAGUGGUUUAAGAGGACGCUCGGCCUGGGGCACUAUACCCUGUCAUCGAGUUCCCUGCCUCGGAGAUAAAGAUUCCAGCUACAUGGGUAAACGCCUGGAUCAGCCACAAAUGUACCCCCAGUACACUUACUACUAUCCUCACUGUCUCUAAACCAAGGUAUGGCUCGACCCACAGUCUGGCAAGCAGUGUGUAUCCUGCACUUGGGAUGGGAAACAGGCAUGUGGAUUAUUAUUUACCUCCCCUUUCCCAUCACCUCUUCCUGCUUCUUUGAAAUUAGUAACAUAGCAAUGGAGUUAAUAAGGCAGAGGAGAAUAUGAGAAGAAAGCAAGCCCUGGGAUUGUGGUUUUUCUCUUCUAGCAGAGAUAAUAGUUUCGCUCGUGUUCCUUUGUUGUUAUUUGGCAACAUAAAGAUGUUCCUGAUAUCCGUAGUAAAGUGCUUUGCAGAUGGACAGGGUUGUUAGAAAGGAGAUUGUGACAGUGAUUAUCAGGAACAACAACGAUUUCAGAGGCUUUUCUGGUGAGCUGUUCUUUGUGGCUCUGAAAGGGUUUUUCUCACUGGAUAGGAUGCACCAGGGUGGGGGCAACUCAGACUUUCAAUCACAGAGUAUAGAAUGAAAGAAGGGUGUGGGAAGGUAUAGUACGACUAACUGACGUCCCGUAGAGUUUGUUUGGGUGUGCUUUUGUUUUUGUGUAUUUGCCUUACAUAUUUUAUUUUAUAUGGAGGGUGAUCAAGACUCUAGAGACUGAAGUUUGGAGCUUUACAAUAGAUGUUCUUUACUUUUCGAAGCUCUGUUUUUCUGUGCUGGCUGCCAUCAGGAGGCCUGUGGGUCUUGAAACGGGAUGAAAUAUAACUGAUGAUAAUUGGACACGAAUUGGUUAAAUACUUUAGUCUUGGGAUCCCUGGGUGGCGCAGUGGUUUGGCGCCUGCCUUUGGCCCAGGGCGUGAUCCUGGAGACCUGGGAUCGAAUCCCACGUCGGGCUCCCGGUGCAUGGAGCCUGCUUCUCCCUCUGCCUAUGUCUCUGCCUCUCUCUCUGUGUGUGACUAUCAUAAAUAAAUAAAAAAAAUUAAAAAAAAUUUUUAAUACU
rnacentral:lncRNA from 12 species